UACGUAGGGUGCGAGCGUUGUCCGGAAUUAUUGGGCGUAAAGAGCUCGUAGGCGGUUUGUUGCGUCGGCCGUGAAAACUUGGGGCUUAACUCCGAGCUUGCGGUCGAUACGGGCAGACUUGAGUUCGGCAGGGGAGACUGGAAUUCCUGGUGUAGCGGUGAAAUGCGCAGAUAUCAGGAGGAACACCGGUGGCGAAGGCGGCCAUCUGGCUCGGUACUGACGCUCAGGCGCGAAAGCGUGGGGAGCAAACAGG
rnacentral:rRNA from 1 species